rnacentral:rRNA from 1 species
AUUAGUAGAUAUUUUCUUUAAAUUUGAAGAAUUUGGCGGUGAUUUAGUCCUGUUAGAGGAACCUGUUUUUAAAUCGAUACACCACGUAGAAUCCUACUCGUUUUAUUAAGUUUGUAUACCGUCAUUAGCAGAUAAUUCCAAAAGGAUUAAUUAUUUAAGUUUUAAGGUAAAUUAAAAAAAAAUUAGAUCAAGGUGCAGCUGAUAAAUGAGUUAAAAUGGGUUACAAUAGAAUUUAUUUACUACGGAGUAAUUGGGGGAAAGAACUUUAUGAAGGAGGAUUUGAUUGUAAUAUUAAUUAAUAAGUAAUAAG